rnacentral:tmRNA from 1 species
GGGGGCGAACUAGCUUCGACGUGGAGCUGUCUGCCUCGAUGUGGCGAGCCGAGGACCCCGGUUGGCCUCGUAAAACUCUCCGGGAACCAAAUAAGUGCGGACUCUCACGAGUUCGCCCUCGCCGCCUAAGAACCGGUGAGGGAGUCGCCCCGGGCAGCCCGCGGUCCGGACCGGCGGCUUCAACCAGCGGGCUCACCGGCCGGGAGCGACCCUUCGCCCGGCCGGGACACCAACAGAAGGGUGUGGCUCCGGUGACGUGCCCCGCGGAUCGACCGAACCGGUAGCCGAGAUCGGACUCCGUCGGGAACGCUCGUAGCAAGCAUCGGGGUUGGGUUCCGCGGACGCCGGGGCAGAACCGGCCGCCUCCACUU